UACAGAGACUGCAAGCGUUAUUCGGAUUCAUUGGGCGUAAAGGGUGCGUAGGCGGCGCGGUAAGUCGGGUGUGAAAUCUUGGAGCUUAACUCCGAAACUGCAUUCGAUACUGCCGUGCUUGAGGACUGGAGAGGAGACUGGAAUUUACGGUGUAGCGGUGAAAUGCGUAGAUAUCGUAAGGAAGACCAGUGGCGAAGGCGGGUCUCUGGACAGUUCCUGACGCUGAGGCACGAAGGCCAGGGGAGCAAACGGG
rnacentral:rRNA from 1 species